rnacentral:misc_RNA from 1 species
GUCGUAACAAGGUUUCCGUAGGUGAACCUGCGGAAGGAUCAUUAACGCGCAGGCCGGAGGCCGGCCCCCCAGGAUAGGGCCAAACGUCCGUCAGGGGUGAGCAGAUGUGCGCCGGCCGUACCGCCCCAUUCUUGUCUACCUUACUCGGUUGCCUCGGCGGGCCGCGCUCUCCCAGGAGAGCCGUUCGGCGAGCCUCUCUUUAUAGCGGCUCAACGCUGGACCGCGCCCGCCGGAGGACAGACGCAAAAAAAAAUUCUUUCAGAAGAGCUGUCAGUCUGAGCGUUAGCAAGCAAAAAUCAGUUAAAACUUUCAACAACGGAUCUCUUGGUUCCGGCAUCGAUGAAGAACGCAGCGAAAUGCGAUAAGUAAUGUGAAUUGCAGAAUUCCGUGAAUCAUCGAAUCUUUGAACGCACAUUGCGCCCCCUGGCAUUCCGGGGGGCAUGCCUGUUCGAGCGUCAUUUCAGCCCCUCAAGCCCGGCUUGUGUGAUGGACGACCGUCCGGCGCCCCCGUCUCUGGGGGUGCGGGACGCGCCCGAAAAGCAGUGGCCAGGCCGCGAUUCCGGCUUUCUAGGCGAAUGGGCAACAAACCAGCGCCUCCAGGACCGGCCGCCCUGGCCUCAAAAUCUGUUUUAUACUUAUCAGGUUGACCUCGGAUCAGGUAGGGAUACCCGCUGAACUUAAGCAUAUCAAUAAGCGGAGGAAA